AAAUUGUGUGUUCAAUACUUAGUUAGAUUUCACCUGUUGUAUAGUAAAUGCUCCACUUAUUUUAAAGGGAAUAAAAAACAGAUGGGAACAGUUGGAAAUAAACAACCCCAAAGGUGGCACCGAAAAUCUGCAGCCAGAAGACUUUGUCGUUGAUGUAAAAGAAAUAAACUAUGGGAUGAAGGAAAAUGACCCAAUAGAGCAUGUGUGGUUCUACAAAAAGGACAAUCCAACAAAGCCCUUCAAACUGGAUAAAAAUCAAGUUUCUAACCUUCUUCCAGGAACAUUCAGCGAGAAAAUAAUCAGAAUCUACUGCAAGAAGACGACUAAGGAGACUCUGAAAGCUGACCAAAUUCACUUCGAGAAAUAUAAGAAGAUACAUGACGGAAUGAUCAAUGCAUAAGUGCUGCUUUUCUUUGAGCUGUAUUUGACAGCAGCAGAACAGCUAUUUUAAGGCAAUCAUUAUUAAUUUCCUAAUUGUUACUAAUACGUUUUUAUAGAUAUUGAUUUGCUAAUUUAUACCCCUAACAGCUGGGUAAUGUGAAUAAGGCCAGAACAAUGGGUGA